rnacentral:rRNA from 1 species
GAUGAACGCUGGCGGCGUGCCUAAUACAUGCAAGUAGAACGCUGAAGCUUGGUGCUUGCCCCGAGCGGAUGAGUUGCGAACGGGUGAGUAACGCGUAGGUAACCUGCCUCUUAGCGGGGGAUAACUAUUGGAAACGAUAGCUAAUACCGCAUAAAAGUCGACAUCGCAUGAUGUUGACUUGAAAGGUGCAAUUGCAUCACUAAGAGAUGGACCUGCGUUGUAUUAGCUAGUUGGUGAGGUAACGGCUCACCAAGGCGACGAUACAUAGCCGACCUGAGAGGGUGAUCGGCCACACUGGGACUGAGACACGGCCCAGACUCCUACGGGAGGCAGCAGUAGGGAAUCUUCGGCAAUGGGGGCAACCCUGACCGAGCAACGCCGCGUGAGUGAAGAAGGUUUUCGGAUCGUAAAGCUCUGUUGUAAGAGAAGAACGAGUGUGAGAGUGGAAAGUUCACACUGUGACGGUAACUUACCAGAAAGGGACGGCUAACUACGUG